CUUUCUUCUGGAUAUCGUCCACCUAUGUAGCAGGGAAGAACAAUUCCAUCCAGUGCAGGAAUUAUAGGGUGGAACUCUAUGUACCUGUUGCAAAGGCAGAUUGAAGACAUGCACUUUGUACUUGGAUCAGAAAGUGGAGAGAGUGGAAGAGAAGCAGACAGAUGUCACAAGAAAAAUUGUUCUUCAACCCAGGAGAAAGCAAGAGCAAGUGGAAAUGUGGAGAGCGGUAGAGAGGAGGGCUGAUAUGCCUGCGAGUGACUAUUUUGAGUUGCAUCUUCUCCUCCCCUAAAUCAGGAACCAAAGAGAAAUGAGAAAAUCCAUCUAAUUUUCAAAUGUAAAGAAACACUUUAAAAACAGCAGCAUCACAAGACUGACCUUUGCC